rnacentral:rRNA from 2 species
CGUCACCGAAUUAUUUUGGAAGAGUGUGUCUUUGAUGCACUUUAUCCUAGCGGAAAUGUUACGCUCCCUUCGGGUGUGUGCAUUUGUGCUUAACAACCAACCCUGGCACAACUUGUGUCAAGCAAAAUGUAGCUUGUGGUUUGUCUCCUUCAUUGUAUUGAGAUAGAUCGUGAGUCUCACAGAAUUACCAUUAAAUGCAUGACUCCCGUCAACGGAUAUCUUGGCCCUUGCAUCGAUGAAGAACGUAGCAAAAUGCGAUACUUGAUGUGAAUUGUAGAAUCCCGUGAACCAUCGAGUCUUUGAAUGCAAGUUGCGCCCGAAGUUGUUAGACGGACGGCAUGCCUGCCUGGGCGUCAUUAAAUGAGUCGCUCAUUAAGUAUGAUCUUCAUGGUUGAUGAAGCGGAUUUUGGCCUUCUGGGAGUUUUCCAGUAGGCUUAAAUGGGCGUGACCUGCUGUGUGGAGAUGCACGAUGGGUGGUGAACAUUUGUGAAUUGCAGUUGAUCCCAUCAUUAGCAAAUAGCACGUCGUGCCUCCCUCAACACCUUCUUUCACGUGCUUACCCUUUGCAUAAGGCAUCUUGUGGAUGCUUUGAUUGAACAGUAGAGAAUCUGAUUGGGACCUCAGGUCAGGCAAGACCACCUGCUGAGUUUAA